AGCCGCGUUAGGGUAAAAUACUUUAAACUUUGUAAGCUUAACAGUUAUGAAUAAUCUUCAACACCUUUCUUUGCAAAACUUUUUCCUAUUCCAUUCACUGAAUUUAUUAUUCCUAAAACGUAAAGAAUUUUGAGUUUUAUUUCGCGUUGUGGUUUUUGUCCCUUAGCAGCGUCCGUUCAGUCAGUGACGUAAUACAUAAACAAGAUGCCUACUUCCAUGGGCUUAAGCAAAAGUGCUGCACUCUCUAAAGCAGAUUACCUUAAACAGUAUUUAUCUAGUGAUUAAGCUGGCAAGAAGUCUAAAGAGAAGAAGCUUAAGAAGAAACUGCCGAAACCCACGGGGAGAGGGGUGAAAACUGUGCAUGACGACAUUGACUGGAAGCAACUGACAACUCAGAAAGAAGAAAAAGAAGAAGAUGACAACGAGGCACCUGUGAUGUAUUGCAGAAGUGAUAGAUGAACGCCCAGAUGAGAUCAAGCAGCUUGAGGCAUUCGGGACAGGCAGGUGGAUAGUGAUCCCCGAGAAACCCAGGAUUCUGCAUUAGAUAAAAGGUAUAAAGAAACUCUCCUUCCUCGACUCCCCGGAUCUCUCACCCCAAAGAAGAGGUCGUCAUGACUCACCAGAUCUCUCACCUCAAAGACACAGUGCCGAGAACAAAAACAGACGGCAUGAUUCCUUAUCACCUUCCCCUCCAAGAAAGAGUCACAAGAGCUCACACUCCAGAACUCAAAGGCUGCAUGAUAAAGAGUGUCCACACAGAAGAAAGACAAAAGCUGGCUCUUCAGAUGACUUUCACAGACCAGAAGACGAGUACGAAAAGGCAAAUGCUCAGAAUAUUAUGAUUAGU